rnacentral:rRNA from 1 species
UACGUAGGGUGCGAGCGUUAAUCGGAAUUACUGGGCGUAAAGCGUGCGCAGGCGGUUUUGUAAGUCUGUCGUGAAAUCCCCGGGCUCAACCUGGGAAUUGCGAUGGAGACUGCAAGGCUAGAAUCUGGCAGAGGGGGGUAGAAUUCCACGUGUAGCAGUGAAAUGCGUAGAGAUGUGGAGGAACACCGAUGGCGAAGGCAGCCCCCUGGGUCAAGAUUGACGCUCAUGCACGAAAGCGUGGGGAGCAACAGG